AUUACUCCUACGGGAGGCAGCAGUAGGGAAUCUUCGGCAAUGGACGAAAGUCUGACCGAGCAACGCCGCGUGAGUGAAGAAGGUUUUCGGAUCGUAAAACUCUGUUGGUAGAGAAGAACGUUGGUGAGAGUGGAAAGCUCAUCAAGUGACGGUAACUACCCAGAAAGGGACGGCUAACUACGUGCCAGCAGCCGCGGUAAUAAU
rnacentral:rRNA from 1 species